rnacentral:tRNA from 1 species
GGAGGGCUGGCCGAGCCGGGCAAGGCACCGGAUUGCUAAUCCGAGGUCCGGAACAUCGCGUUCCGGCGCGCGUUCGAGUCGCGCGCCCUCCG